rnacentral:rRNA from 1 species
UACGUAGGGCGCAAGCGUUUAUCCGGAAUUAUUGGGCGUAAAGAGCUCGUAGGCGGUUUGUCGCGUCUGCCGUGAAAGUCCGGGGCUCAACUCCGGAUCUGCGGUGGGUACGGGCAGACUAGAGUGAUGUAGGGGAGACUGGAAUUCCUGGUGUAGCGGUGAAAUGCGCAGAUAUCAGGAGGAACACCGAUGGCGAAGGCAGCACUCUGGUACGUGACUGACGCUGAGACGCGAAAGCGUGGGGAGCAAACAGG